GGUUCCAUGGUAUAAUGGUGAGCGCUCUGCACUCUGAAUCCAGUGAUUCAAGUUCAAAUCUUGGUGGCACCU
rfam:Dipodomys ordii contig_36638, whole genome shotgun sequence.